UGGGGAAUAUUGGACAAUGGGCGAAAGCCUGAUCCAGCCAUGCCGAGUGUGUGAAGAAGGUCUUCGGAUUGUAAAGCACUUUAAGUUGGGAGGAAGGGCAGUAAGUUAAUACCUUGCUGUUUUGACGUUACCGACAGAAUAAGCACCGGCUAACUCUGUGCCAGCAGCCGCGGUAAUACAGAGGGUGCAAGCGUUAAUCGGAAUUACUGGGCGUAAAGCGCGCGUAGGUGGUUUGUUAAGUUGGAUGUGAAAGCCCCGGGCUCAACCUGGGAACUGCAUCCAAAACUGGCAAGCUAGAGUACGGUAGAGGGUGGUGGAAUUUCCUGUGUAGCGGUGAAAUGCGUAGAUAUAGGAAGGAACACCAGUGGCGAAGGCGACCACCUGGACUGAUACUGACACUGAGGUGCGAAAGCGUGGGGAGCAAACA
rnacentral:rRNA from 1 species